GUGGAAAUGGGCACCUAAGAGCUGCACUCUAAACCAGUUUUUCUCUGUUGCCGGUGCACAAGCAGGUAAUGUGCAUCCAACGUUCCACUGGAUCUGUCCGAAGGGCAGGCUGAUACUGCGGCAGACGCCACUGAGCGGACACACUGCAAAAAGGCGUCGGCCGUUUUCCGAAGUUUGUCAACUGACCUAGAUCUGAGAACGUUGGUACAUGUAUUGCUACCGUUGCCAAGCAGGACUGGAGAUUGUUAGAGUGUGAACAAUGUUCACACUUUGGUCAAUGCAAGCACAUCUUUUUUUUUUUUAGUAAUAUUGACUAACAAGAUUGCAGCAAUCAAACAAGUUAACACCGAAAUGUUAAAAGCAAUAAAGAAAUUAAAGCCCG